rnacentral:tRNA from 1 species
AGAUGACUAGUCCAAAGUAAGACCUCUGAUUUCGGCUCAACUAAUUAUGGUGCAAGUCCAUAGUCGUCUU